GUGCUAUAAACCGCUGGCCAGGGCUACUGGUCGUUAAAAACGAUAAACUAGGGAAAGCGCCCCAUUGCCUGGCACGUGGUGGGUGCGCAAUAACUGUUAGGUGACUUUCCUCGAGUGGCUUAUCAAAGCUUUACCCAAGCUGAGAAACACUAGAGCAUCAGUAGGAUGAGACUCUCUAUGGACUCCUUGAUCUCUCCCCUCUAAGCUCUCCUCUCAUUGAGGACUCACUGGCAGUCUGUUAUAAUAUCUGAACAUUCUACUUCAAAUCAGCCCUGCACGUUGGAAGGGCUGGCUUCUGUCCCCUUGAAGGGGAAGAAAGAUUUGAACAUACCCCAGCCUGAGGAUGCCACUAUAGCCUGCGUGUUCUCAUGUGCUAAUGGCUAGGAGCUGUGACUUUCCAUUGAGCCGGGACCCAGCCAGAUCUCAAAACAAGGAGCCAGGAGAGACACCUCAACUAUGUUCUCCUUCACCCCUUCAGUCUGUUGCCGGUGCUUGCCUUUGGCUGAGCUCUACUGAAAACCAGAAGACAAGAAAGUUCAGCUUGAUGUACUGGAUGGUCCAAACCUGGCUUCUAGGCUGUGGAGCAGGUUGGAGAAAACGUAGGGAAGAUUAGGGUGGGAGAAGGAAGCUAUUCAGCAUAAAGAGAGAUCUCCAUACUCAGCAUUUCACUGCCUUCUUACUUGAGGUCCAGUUUUUGCAUUUUCAGUUGCCUACCCAGCCCUUCAGCUUGAAUGUCCCACAUCAGAUUCAAGAUGUCCAAACUUCCUCACCAAGCUAUUAAUAGCUGUUUUCCCAGAGUCCCUUGAUUUUAUCAGUGGCAUCAUAGUUCUUCUUACAAUCAUUUGGACUCUGGUUCAUUAUAUCUCAUUAUUUAUAAAAUCUUUAGUUACCUAAAGGAUUGUGUUUCUGUUGCUAGCUACUAUCCCCAAUACUCAGAUGAUCACAGUGACAUUCAAACUGGUCUCACUGUCUGCAGGAUCUACCCUCUGCAAUCCACACUUCAAUACCAGAUACUCUUCCUAGUUCACCACAGUCAGCUGUCACUGUUGUUUACGUAGCUCCACUCCUGAAUGAAAAUGGACCCACUCAAUCGAAGGCCACUCACUGCUUUCUCAUCUCCCAGGGCGCCCUUACAUGCCUCUGGCACCUGCCAGACUCUUUUUUCAAUCCUACUCUGAACAUGUCAUGUUCACUUCUCUCCUUCUGUGCCUUUUCUCUUUAUGUCUGCCCCCUGCCCACAAUGUCCAGUGUCCUCUCUGACCAUUGAAAUUUUUUCCACAUCGUCAGGUCUCAUGUUUCAUCUGUUUCAUGAAUCAAAACCUGGCUACAGCAGACCACUCUGAUUUCCCCUUCUCUGAAUUUAUUUAGUAUGUAGGGCAGGGAUGUCCAAUCUUUUGGCUUCCCUGGGCCACAUUGGAAGGAAAAUUGUCUUGGGCCACAAAUAAAAUACACUAACACUAAUGAUAGCUGAUGAGCUAAAACACACACACACAUACACAGACACACACACACAUUUCAUAAUGUUUUGAGAAAGUUUACGAAUUUGGUUUGGGCCGCAUUCGAAGCUGUCUUGAGCUACAUGCUGCCCACCAGCCAUGGGUUGGACAAGGUGAUGUAAAGCCUCUGCCUUUCAUUUUGAUAUAUAUCCCUAGGUACUUGCAGAUAGGAGCUUCCAAAAUGAUCCUAAGUUACACCCAUGGUUGAGGGAGAAAUAUAUUCAAAGCAGAUUGAAUUACUGGUAGUUGUCCAAAGAAAUGUACUUACACGUGUUAGCAUAAAUGGUUAUGGAGGUCUAGGGAAGGAUAGUUGCGGUAGAUGCCUGAGAAAAGAGGGUUCCCUCAUUCCUUUGCUGUGUAGUCAUGCAUGAUACACAAGUUCUAAAAAGACCUGGCUGUGGGCAGAAGCUGACAUCCCAUUUCUACAAGGGAGCAUGGGAAACAGAGAAGGAAAAGCUGCUUAAGAAUUAACCCUCCCAACAAAGUUUCAGAUGGACAGGAGGAAUAAUUUCCACUGAUCUCUUGCACAGCAUGGUGACUAUAGUCAAUUAUAAUGUAUUGUACAUUUCUAAAGUCCUAAAAGAGUGGACUUGAAAUGUUCUCACCACAAAGAAAUAAGUAUGUGACAUGAUGGAUAUGUUAAUUAGCCCGAUUUGAUCAUUAAACAAUGUAUACAUGCCUCAAAACUUCACACUAUACCCCAUACAUGUAUACAAUUAUUGUCUAUUAAAAAUAAAGAAAUUUCUAAAAGAGAACUAAUGCCAUCAAGUAAACAAUAAAUAAUUGAAACAAGACGGCAUACAUAAUGUGGGUAGGGUCAGUCCAAACAGUGGGAACCAAACAAAAUUUUGAUAAGCUUAAUCAUCUCGAUAGCUUACAAGGCCAAUGUUGUAUGAAGAAAAACUGCAGUGUUAAAAGGUUUACUAGGACAAGUACAUAUGCCUAAAAAAAUAAAGUUCUGGGAUCAUUUCCACUGCUAAGUUGAGGAAAAUUAGUUUAAUAAUCAAGAGGUUCUGGUUAUUAAAUCUUUCUAAGUUGCUUCGGGAAUAUCAAUAGAUUUUCUAAUUGCUUCUGAGUGUCAGUAGAUUUUCAUUGGUAUCAGAGGGAGAAAACCAGUAGAAUUAUCUAAAGCUAGUGCUUUAGUUUAUCCACAUAGUCCAUCUCUACUGGAAAACCUGAAGAGACCAUGGUGCUAAGCACAGAAGAAUAAUUAAUCAAACCACUGAGACCUUAUGUGACAAAACUCUUUAAAUGCAGAGACACUAGAACUGGAUCAAUAUUUUUAGAUCCAAAGAGUGAAAAGGAAAGCUUACUGCUUUUUAAAAUUUUCUAUACAUUUGGCAUUUUAAUAUAAACUAUAUACCAUUAUAAGUCAAAUCUUUAUAACUAAUACAAGUCACAAAUCCAAAUAAACACGUUUUCUUCAUAUUUGC
rnacentral:lncRNA from 1 species